rnacentral:rRNA from 1 species
CAGCAGCCGCGGUAAUGCGUAGGUGGCAAGCGUUGUCCGGAAUUAUUGGGCGUAAAGGGCUCGCAGGCGGUUUCUUAAGUCUGAUGUGAAAGCCCCCGGCUCAACCGGGGAGGGUCAUUGGAAACUGGGAAACUUGAGUGCGGAAGAGGAGAGUGGAAUUCCACGUGUAGCGGUGAAAUGCGUAGAGAUGUGGAGGAACACCAGUGGCGAAGGCGACUCUCUGGUCUGUAACUGACGCUGAGGAGCGAAAGCGUGGGGAGCGAACAAGAUUAGAUACCCCAGUAGUCCCUGUCUCUUAUAA